rnacentral:rRNA from 1 species
CCUACGGGGGGCAGCAGUGGGGAAUAUUGGACAAUGGGCGAAAGCCUGAUCCAGCCAUGCCGCGUGUGUGAAGAAGGCCUUCGGGUUGUAAAGCACUUUCAGUGGGGAAGAAAGCCUUGGGGCUAAUACCCUCGAGGAAGGACAUCACCAACAGAAGAAGCACCGGCUAACUCCGUGCCAGCAGCCGCGGUAAUACGGAGGGUGCGAGCGUUAAUCGGAAUUACUGGGCGUAAAGCGCGCGUAGGCGGUCUGAUAAGCCGGUUGUGAAAGCCCCGGGCUCAACCUGGGAACGGCAUCCGGAACUGUCAGGCUAGAGUGCAGGAGAGGAAGGUAGAAUUCCCGGUGUAGCGGUGAAAUGCGUAGAGAUCGGGAGGAAUACCAGUGGCGAAGGCGGCCUUCUGGACUGACACUGACGCUGAGGUGCGAAAGCGUGGGUAGCAAACAGGAUUAGAUACCCGAGUAGUC